CUUUUGAUGGCCGAUUACUUAGGUGAAAAGCUGUAAACUUUUUCAAGGGAAAGUUUCCCUCAAGUUU
rnacentral:tRNA from 1 species